GACGAACGCUGGCGGCGUGCCUAAUACAUGCAAGUUGAGCGCUGAGGGUUGGUACUUGUACCAACUGGAUGAGCGGCGAACGGGUGAGUAACGCGUGGAGAAUCUGCCUUUGAGCGGGGGGCAACAUUUGGAAACGAAUGCUAAUACCGCAUAAAAACUUUAAACACAAGUUUUAAGUGUGAAAGAUGCACUUGCAUCAAUCAAAGAAGAUCCCGCGUUGUCUUAGCUAGUUGGUGAGGUAAAGGCUCACCCAGGCGAAGAUACAUAGCCGACCUGGGAGGGUGAUCGGCCCCCUUGGGACCUGGACCCGGCCCCAACUCCUUCCGGAGGCCGCAGUAGGGGAUCUUUGGCCAUGGGCGGAAGUCUUACCGGGGCACGCCGCCGUGGUUAAGAAGGGUCUCGGGUUCGUAAACCUCUUUUGUAGAGAAGAACGUUGGUUGUAGUUGAAAGCGCACCAAUUGACGGUACCUACCCAGAAAGCCACGGCUAACUACGUG
rnacentral:rRNA from 1 species